ACCUUCCGUACACUCAGGGAUAGCCUUUCGAAAGAAAGAUUAAUACCUGAUGGUAUGAUGAGAUUGCAUGAUAGCAUCAUUAAAGAUUUAUCGGUGUACGAUGGGGAUGCGUUCCAUUAGGUAGUAGGCGGGGUAACGGCCCACCUAGCCAACGAUGGAUAGGGGUUCUGAGAGGAAGGUCCCCCACAUUGGAACUGAGACACGGUCCAAACUCCUACGGGAGGCAGCAGUGAGGAAUAUUGGUCAAUGGACGAGAGUCUGAACCAGCCAAGUAGCGUGAAGGAUGAAGGUCCUACGGAUUGUAAACUUCUUUUAUAAGGGAAUAAACCCUCCCACGUGUGGGAGCUUGUAUGUACCUUAUGAAUAAGCAUCGGCUAACUCCGUGCCAGCAGCCGCGGUAAUACGGAGGAUGCGAGCGUUAUCCGGAUUUAUUGGGUUUAAAGGGAGCGCAGACGGGUCGUUAAGUCAGCUGUGAAAGUUUGGGGCUCAACCUUAAAAUUGCAGUUGAUACUGGCGUCCUUGAGUGCGGUUGAGGUGUGCGGAAUUCGUGGUGUAGCGGUGAAAUGCUUAGAUAUCACGAAGAACUCCGAUUGCGAAGGCAGCACACUAAUCCGUAACUGACGU
rnacentral:rRNA from 1 species